GACGAACGCUGGCGGCGUGCCUAACACAUGCAAGUCGAGCGAAUGAAGUUCCUUCGGGAACGGAUUUAGCGGCGGACGGGUGAGUAACACGUGGGCAACCUGCCUCAUAGAGGGGAAUAGCCUUCCGAAAGGGAGAUUAAUACCGCAUAAGAUUGUAGUACCGCAUGGUACAGCAAUCAAAGGAGCAAUCCGCUAUGAGAUGGGCCCGCGGCGCAUUAGCUAGUUGGUGAGGUAACGGCUCACCAAGGCGACGAGGCGUAGCCGACCUGAGAGGGUGAUCGGCCACAUUGGGACUGAGACACGGCCCAGACUCCUACGGGAGGCAGCAGUGGGGAAUAUUGCACAAUGGGGGAAACCCUGAUGCAGCAACGCCGCGUGAGUGAUGACGGCCUUCGGGUUGUAAAGCUCUGUCUUCAGGGACGAUAAUGACGGUACCUGAGGAGGAAGCCACGGCUAACUACGUGCCAGCCGCCGCGGUAA
rnacentral:rRNA from 1 species